UACGUAGGGUGCGAGCGUUGUCCGGAAUUAUUGGGCGUAAAGGGCUCGUAGGCGGUUUGUCGCGUCGGGAGUGAAAACCUUGGGCUUAACUCAGGGCUUGCUUUCGAUACGGGCAGACUAGAGGUAUGCAGGGGAGAACGGAAUUCCUGGUGUAGCGGUGAAAUGCGCAGAUAUCAGGAGGAACACCAAUAGCGAAGGCAGCUCGCUGGGACGGUAUUGACGCUAAGGCGCGAAAGCGUGGGGAGCAAACAGG
rnacentral:rRNA from 1 species